GCCAAGUCCACCCCCAUCAAUGUAGUAGCACUGUUGCUGGAUGUGGAAGAGGUGAUUAGAGACCACCAGGAAUGAAAGAUGGCUAUGGUAUGUUCUUCACACAAAUUAUCAAACAUCUUCGAAGAUGUAAGACUGAUUCCAUAACAAAUAUUUGCUCAAGUAUGUCCAGAUUCAACGGACCAGACAACUAAUAGAUUUGAAGUUCCUAUGAAUUAAAAAAACUCAAAAGCAAGGAGAUGACGGAUGAAAUUGAUCUCCAAUAGAGCAGUAUCCAUGAAAAUCAAAGAAACUGCUUACUCAAACCUCUUCUCAAGUUAUAUUAUAGUAAUCAUUCUGUUAUAGCAUUAUGUGCUUUGUAGGUAAUGAAUGGAGUAUGUUGUCAAAUUUAGUAUGUUAUCAAAUUUAG
rnacentral:misc_RNA from 1 species